rnacentral:rRNA from 1 species
UAGUCCACGCCGUAAACGAUGAAUACUAGGUGUCGGGGGUACCACCUCCGGUGCCGCAGCUAACGCAUUAAGUAUUCCGCCUGGGGAGUACGGUCGCAAGAUUAAAACUCAAAGGAAUUGACGGGGACCCGCACAAGCAGCGGAGCAUGUGGUUUAAUUCGAAGCAACGCGAAGAACCUUACCUAGACUUGACAUCUUCUGCAUUACUCUUAAUCGAGGAAAUCCCUUCGGGGACAGAAUGACAGGUGGUGCAUGGUUGUCGUCAGCUCGUGUCGUGAGAUGUUGGGUUAAGUCCCGCAACGAGCGCAACCCUUAUUGUUAGUUGCUACCAUUAAGUUGAGCACUCUAACGAGACUGCCUGGGUUAACCAGGAGGAAGGUGGGACGACGUCAAAUCAUCAUGCCCCUUAUGUCUAGGGCUACACACGUGCUACAAUGGCCGAUACAGUAAGUUGCAAUACCGCGAGGUGGAGCUAAUCUCUAAAGUCGGUCCCAGUUCGGAUUGCAGGCUGAAACUCG